rnacentral:rRNA from 1 species
UACGGAGGGUGCAAGCGUUAUCCGGAAUCACUGGGCGUAAAGGGCGCGUAGGCGGUCUGUUAAGUCUGGCGUUAAAGCCUGGGGCUCAACCCCAGAUCAGCGUUGGAUACUGGCAGGCUAGACGGCUGGAGAGGCGAGUGGAAUUACCAGUGUAGCGGUGGAAUGCGUAGAUACUGGUAGGAACACCCAUUGCGAAGGCAGCUCGCUGGACAGCACGUGACGCUGAGGCGCGAAAGUGUGGGGAGCAAACCGGAUUAGAUA